AAAGAGCACCUAUUAUGGGAUACACGUUUUUAAACAUCCUUUUGUGUGUAAGUGUGCAUUAGUACAUGCUAACGAUAUUCAAAAAGUACAUACCUCAAAGAAAACGAUGACGCGAGUUAUCGUCUCUAACGUUCGAGGACUACAAAAAACACUCGGAUUGUAGGCAACAGUUUACUUCCUGGGAUUAGUGACGUAGAUAAGACCAACAUUAUCAUAGUUCGGCCCUCUCUGCUUUGCUUGGGUACGCCCUCAAAGACGGGGGUGGGGAGCGCCGAGUCAGAAGAGAGCUAAAAUGGCGGAGGUUGGGAGUCCCUGCUUUGACCCUGUUUGCAAACUCUUGUUUCAUCGUUUAAGCGAUUAAAUCUCUCGAGUAGACGCUGUCUCUUUAGAUGCAAGGGCAAAAUAUCACUUUAUGGACUUACACAGAGGACAUCAUGUUUAAUACGGUUCCGGAAAAAUCCAGUCAGAAGUUGUUCACGGAGUUUUCACAAUAACUGCUUCUCAUGAACCGAAGCUGGAUUUGCGCGACGUCUCCUCUUAAAAAAUUGGAUUACUGUGCACUUCUGGAUCACAGGCUAUUCGCAGCUGUACACAUCCUUCUACACUGUAUGCAAACAUGCAACAUCAUUACACACAGUACAAGGAGUCAGACUGGCAUAUGAGGAGCAAAGGAACCCAGGUAAUAGCAUCGUUUCACAAUGUUUCAAUCACCAUCAUCAGUGGAUGCCUUUGCUGUCCGUAGCCUGAGAUUUCAGAUUUGCAGCAAAAAAAAUUAGAUUUUCUCAUUUAUUGGAAUGCUGUGCAGGUAUUUGUACCUUGCAGCCAUCCAUUACAAUGUCACCAAGCCGUAACAAAAGCAGGAGAGGGAAAGUACAAGGCUAUGUUCCCAAAACACACAAAUGACAUACCUUAUGUGGAUGAUGUGAUCAGGCUUGUGUUUGAUGAGGUAUUUGAAGAUAAGCUGAAGGAAACCCCGAUUCCAAUGGACCUGGCAUCACAGUUUGAGAGACCUUCAAAGGAGGACGUGAUUGCAUGCCAUCUUCAGUGGGGGGGUCGUCGAAAGCCAAAAUUGUGACCGAUCUGAUCAGGAAGCUCCAAGCGUAUCUGGAGAACAACACACGACAGGAUGAUAACCUUAUAGUGUCGUCUUAGAUAGCAUCAGCUGACAAGGCUUUGAUAUGCCAUUUAUCUGAAUAGAUAGCUGUAAGAAAUGAAUUGAACAAUUUUUGAAACAAGAGCACAAUAUGGUUACUAAAGUAUGUUUAUUUGUAUAUUGUUUAACAUUUAAAUAUAUAUUUGUAAUAAA